UUUAAAAAAAUACAUGAGUAAUAGAAAGCAGCAGUUGUUGAUAGGUUACUGAUGUAAAUUGUGGAUAUGAUUGUAAUGAACUCCUGAGUAGUGGUAGUGCGUGCGUUGUAGUCUGGAGGUCCCAGGUUCGCGCCCCACCUCCGACUCAAGCUCAGCAGGUUCUUCACAAUAUGUUGGAUACGUCCUAACUACAUUAGCAUGCGAUAUUAAAAUGUUAUUUUAAAAACAGUAUUCAGAAACAAUUCUCUCUCAUACAGAUGUACUACUGCAGAUAAUGCAUAGCUUACGGUAAACAUUGUUUGUGUUACCAUUAAGAACAUCCGACAAAAUGGCAGCUGCGAUUUUAAGAUGGCAAAUGAAAUCGAGAUGUUUUAUGUUGGCAAAUGAAAUCGAGAGUGGAAUAAACAACUGGGACUAUGCCUCCUAUAAAAUCGACUGGCUACUUUAUAGAAUAAAAGAGCUGCAAGCCGUUUCUGAGGCUGAAUUCCCUGAAGAUUUAUAUAGUUUGAUUGCAGAGUUGCAGCACCUGGUCAAAUGUGAAAUAGAGAAAUGCCCUUUGCCAACCACUUCGACAAUGUCACCAGAAGUGAUUAAGUGGUUGUCCCGGAAGACCUGCGUACAUAAUUUCAAAAUCCUGUUUGGAAACCUAUCUGGAGUAUGGAAUUACUGUACCUGACAUAGCCAGUAUACUUAGUGUUAGACGUCGGAUGGAUGAGUUUGAUUAAGGGUAGCUGAUUUUUACACCAGUCUGACAGAAGAACAGAUUGAUGCAGAAGUCCUUCGGAUACUCCUGAAGCACCCCAACACUGGGUACAGAAUGAUGCAGGGAUUCCUUCGAGGGGAAGGAAUCAGUAUUACAGAUGCAUCAGUCAUGGAAUCCAUGGAGAGGGUUGAUCCUGAAGGCGUUUUAGAGCGUGCCUUGUCCCUGCACACGGUGGCGGAUAGUAGUACAUGGUGGAAUUGAUGGAUACAGCAGGAUGGUAGUUUACCUGAAAGCUGCAGCUAAUAACCAUGCUGCAACGGUGUUCCAGUCUUUCUUCAAUGCCGUACAAGAAUAUGGGCAACCAUCUAGAGUUCGUUCAGAUAAAGGACGUGAAAACACUGAUGUUGCAAGAUUCAUGGUGUCGGUAAUGGGUACAGACAGAAACAGCCAUAUUGCUGGAAAAAGUGUUCAUAACCAGAGGAUUGAGUGCUUGUGGCGUGAUGUUUUCAUCUGCGUGUUGGAAACCUUUUACCACAUGUUCUACGAGAUGGAAGCCAGGGGUGUGUGGCACCCUGAAAAUGAAGUGCACUUGUUUGCACUUCACUGGGUAUUUCUUCCCCAGUUGCAAAACCUUUUAGAGUCUUUCAGAAGAGGCUGGAACCAUCACCGCAUACGGUCAACAGGAAAUCAUCACCACUGCAAAUGUGGAUCAGAGGAAUAUCUUCUGGGAUAUCAUCUGACCCCCGACAGGUGGAUGGAGAAUAUGGUGUUGACUGGUCUUCAGAAGGCCAGUUUGAAGAUAACAACAGAGGAGUUUUAAUUCCUGAAAUCAACCUUAGAAGGCCUUUAUCAGAGGAAGAGCUUUGCACCCUUUCGAGACCCACUUGUGAGACAUUAGAAAGUGGACUGGACUUAUAUGUAAAUACUGUUGAUCACCUGAAUAAUAUUUUGUGAUUUAUUUCACAAGGUUCAACUUCCAGCUCCUACUUGAAGUCAACACAUCCUAAAAGUGUUAUUUGUUUUUAUUAUUGACGCACUGUCCAAAGCAACAAAGUUUCUGAGAAAAUAUUUAAAUGAAGUCUUUGUUCUUACCACCCUUUAAUAACAUUUUUAUUAUUUAGAUUAUUAUAUAAAUGUAUUGUUUUUUCCUAAAUAUUUUAAAGUCACAAUAAAGUACACAACUAAUCAAAGAAACUAGUAGAAUUUAAUUUGAAACAUCAGGCACAGAGUCUGAU